rnacentral:tRNA from 1 species
GCAGAAGUGGCGGAAUUGGCAGACGCGCAGGCUUCAGGUGCCUGUAGUAGCAAUACUGUGAGGGUUCAAGUCCCUUCUUCUGCA